rnacentral:rRNA from 1 species
UACGGGAAGGGGCAAGCGUUGUUCGGAAUCAUUGGGCGUAAAGGGCGCGUAGGUGGUUCUGUAUGUCUACCGUGAAAGCGUACGGCUCAACCGUAUUUUGUCGGUGGAAACUGCAGGACUUGAGGCUGGGAGGGGCUGGUGGAAUUCCCUGUGUAGCGGUGAAAUGCGUAGAGAUGGGGGAGAACACUCGUGGCGAAGGCGGCCAGCUAGACCAGUUCUGACACUGAGGCGCGACAGCGUGGGGAGCAAACAGG